rnacentral:rRNA from 1 species
AGUAAAGUGGCGCACGGGUGAGUAACACGUGGAUGAUCUGCCUCUAUGAUGGGGAUAACAGUUGGAAACGACUGCUAAUACCGAAUACGCUCAUGAUGAACGUUGUGAGGAAAGGUGGCCUCUGCUUGCAAGCUAUCGCAUAGAGAUGAGUCCGCGUCCCAUUAGCUCGUUGGUGGGGUAACGGCCUACCAAGGCAACGAUGGGUAGCCGAUCUGAGAGGGUGACCGGCCACAUUGGGACUGAGACACGGCCCAAACUCC